UCCACUUGCAAUUUAAUAAACUGCAGUUCAAAAUCCCUUUUCCACCUGCAAUUUAAUAAACUGCAGUUCAAAAUCCAUUUCCCUUUCCUGUUCGCUCCGGGAUUAGCUGCUGGAUUAGCUGCUGGAUUAGCUCCUGGAUUAGCUGCUGGAUUAGCUCUUCGAUUAACAACUUGCUGGAGGCUAUUCAAAUUAGCCACACCGUGGGAUGUAAGGAGCUCUCUGAUUGGUUGGUCAGACACAGGCUGUCUGCCAGCCUGGAUUUUUCUAGCUCAUAGCUUCUCCCUGCUAAGAAGCGUGUGUGCUUGUACAAAGGCCGUUCAGCCUCGGGAUUUACACUCGGCUCGACACGGAUAUGUGAAGAAUGAAGGGACCCUGCAGCGAAACGGAGAGCCAACCUCUGACUGAGUACUUGUUUACGCAGUCUGACCACCUGUUGAAGGGCUAUUUGAUGACGAUAUGAACUCCUCUGGGAGAUGAGGACACACCCACAUCUGUUCCAUACUGCAGCCAUUGAUGGUGUUACAGCUCUGAGGCAGCUUUGGGCCAUCAGACGCACACACUGGAAAACCAGCACCUGGACUUCAUGCAGGAGAGACGGCCUCAGUGAUUUAGAAUUAAUCAGCAGCUGUGGAGAGAUGCAUUUGAAUAUCUUCUGGUUCCACUUUUCCUAACCUGGAAGCUGAGGAUGGCUGAUUUCUGACAGGGACACACACCUCAGCGCUUAUCAUGGGUGUUACAUCCUCUGUGCCGCGAUUCCAGAGAAAACGAGAGAGCAACGACCACUCAUUAAGACCAGCCAGAAAUCUGUCCCUUUCUGGCAGCUGUGGAAACUUCCAAUAAGAAAGUUUGCAUUCUUAGAACAAUGCUGGGUCAUGUGUGAUGUGUCAUUAUAUGAGGAUAU